rnacentral:misc_RNA from 1 species
GCGAUGACAGAGUUCUCAACGGAGACGGCGGCGAGUUCGAGGGUUCCAACUUGGCCUGCAAAGACUUGAGUGAUGGCGCCGAGGGAGUACUGACAAAUGGAGGUGAAGAUGGCAGGGCCGGCCAGGUACCAAAGUUUCUUGGACUCCCUGUAGAAUUCUCUAAAGAAAUCACGGAUGCCGUUGAUAGGAGGGAUGUCAUCGGCGUCGGGGACGAAGGAACUAGUGUUUGUUGUUGAUCUGGGAAGUGAGUAUCGCUGGUCUUGAUCCUUAUCACGGGGAUGGUUUUGGUUUUCGUCGUCUCUUGGAGAAAGAAGUGGCUCUCUUGAAUCCUCCAUGUCAAGGAGAGGAGAGAGAUGAGUUUUUCCAAGAGAGACUACGAAUGGUGACUGAUCAAGUAUG